UACGGGUGGGGCAAGCGUUGUUCGGAAUUACUGGGCGUAAAGGGCUCGUAGGCGGCCAACUAAGUCCGACGUGAAAUCCCCAGGCUUAACCUGGGAACUGCGUCGGAUACUGGAUGGCUUGAAUUCGGGAGAGGGAUGCAGAAUUCCAGGUGUAGCGGUGAAAUGCGUAGAUAUCUGGAGGAAUACCGGUGGCGAAGGCGGCAUCCUGGACCGACAUUGACGCUGAGGAGCGAAAGCGUGGGGAGCGAACAGG
rnacentral:rRNA from 1 species